rfam:Schistosoma rodhaini strain Burundi genome assembly, scaffold: SROB_scaffold0000156
AUCCGGCUGACGAGUCCCAAAUAGGACGAAACAUGCGUCCUGGAU